AUACUCUGGUUUCUCUUCAAAUUGUAUAAAUCUUUUGCCUUUUACAAAAGAUUUCUGUGGAGAGGGAAAAUUCUGAGUUUUAGUCCAAUUUUUUGAGGCCCUGUUUCUGCUGGGCU
ensembl:snRNA U5 U5 spliceosomal RNA